rnacentral:misc_RNA from 1 species
GAUGAAGAACGUAGCGAAAUGCGAUAAGUAAUGUGAAUUGCAGAAUUCAGUGAAUCAUCGAAUCUUUGAACGCACAUUGCGCCCGCCAGUAUUCUGGCGGGCAUGCCUGUUCGAGCGUCAUUACAACCCUCAGGCCCCCGGGCCUGGCGUUGGGGAUCGGCGGAGCCCCCCGUGGGCACACGCCGUCCCCCAAAUGCAGUGGCGGUCCCGCCGCAGCUUCCAUCGCGUAGUAGCUAACACCUCGCAACUGGAGAGCGGCGCGGCCAAGCCGUAAAACACCCAACUUCUGAAUGUUGACCCCGAAUCAGGUAGGAAUACCCGCUGAACUUAAGCAUAUCAAUAAGCGGAGGA